AAAAAUACAGGAGGUCAGUUUUUCGAGAGGUGGUCGCCCGACAACAAUAAGCAUAUUGCGCCUGCACACAGAAAUAUGAACACAUAUGAUAAUAUGUGACUUAGAGCGGUUGCCCUUAUCGAACAAUCGGGCGCACCGUUUACAUGCACGCCGCGGGUAUAAGUCGUUACCGUCGUCGGCCACGCGAAGGACGCCGCGGACUCGCAAACUCUAAAUAUUGUUUCGAAACUAAUCUCUGUAUCCGUAAUACUCUGGGUUUUUGAGGGGUCCUGGACAUUUUUACCAGUCUCGGUGGUCUGGAUGUGAUUGGGCCCCGGCCCAGGGAACUAUGGUGGACAACAACGCACCAUAUUAUUAGAUGUCAACAUUCCUUUUCUCAUCGAAUACUACAAAGCAUUCAACAAUCCGCACACCAAACGUUGAGCUAUUGCUUUUGCUUCUGACAUUCGUUAAAAAUUAAGUUUAAAUGAAACAAAAAUUAGUCAUUGGCCAACGUCUUUAAUGGAUACGCAUCUAAAAAACAAAUUUUUGCUAAUACAGAUUUUUAGAGCCAGUUUGCACUCUUUGUGAGAACUGAGAAGGUUACAGUUGCAGCCAUGAAUCAUGAAAUAGAUCAACUUUAUCAACUUUACCUAUGCUUCAAUGGGAAAUAGAACGGAAUGCGCUUUUCUCUACCCUUUUUACGCACCGUAAGUAUCCAUUGUCUAAAAUAUAUUUCAAUUAUACUUAAACUUGUUUAAUUUUAAAUUUCAGAAGCUUUGCCUGGAUUAGAGAAUACGGUACAAGAUUAAAUCAAGUUUAAUGAAGCAAUAGAAAAUUACUUAAAUCAUUUUAAGCAUUCAUCUGUAGCAUCAGUACUCAGUAGCAUCAGUUAUCUACACUAAACGGAUAAAAAUAAUUUUAAUAUAAAAUUUAUGUACUUAAGAAUUACAUUAAUUUUUUUCUUAU